rnacentral:rRNA from 1 species
UACGAAGGGGGCUAGCGUUGCUCGGAAUCACUGGGCGUAAAGGGCGCGUAGGCGGCCAUUCAAGUCGGGGGUGAAAGCCUGUGGCUCAACCACAGAAUUGCCUUCGAUACUGUUUGGCUUGAGUUUGGUAGAGGUUGGUGGAACUGCGAGUGUAGAGGUGAAAUUCGUAGAUAUUCGCAAGAACACCAGUGGCGAAGGCGACACACUGGCCCAUUACUGACGCUGAGGCUCGAAAGCGUGGGGAGCAAACAGG